rnacentral:rRNA from 1 species
GUGGGGAAUCUUGCACAAUGGGGGAAACCCUGAUGCAGCGACGCCGCGUGAGCGAUGAAGCCCUUCGGGGUGUAAAGCUCUUUCGGCAGGAACGAUAAUGACGGUACCUGCAAAAGAAGCUGCGGCUAACUACGUGCCAGCAGCCGCGGUAAUACGUAGGCAGCAAGCGUUGUUCGGAGUUACUGGGCGUAAAGAGUGUGUAGGCGGUUCUCUAAGUUCGGUGUGAAAUCUCCCGGCUCAACUGGGAGGGUGCGCCGGAAACUGGAGGGCUCGAGUGUGGGAGAGGAAAGCGGAAUUCCUGGUGUAGCGGUGAAAUGCGUAGAUAUCAGGAGGAACACCUGCGGUGUAGACGGCUUUCUGGACCACGACUGACGCUGAGACACGAAAGCGUGGGGAGCAAACAGGAUUAGAAACCCUGGUAGUCC